rnacentral:lncRNA from 1 species
GCUUCCUUUCGCUUUGAAGUUCUGUGGCUCCGCACUGGAGUUGGGGAGGCAAGUCCUCCAGCCUCGGGCUUUUAAUAUUCACAUCACGUCCUCUUUGCAGCUACUUUGGGAGGAUUGAAAGCUACAAAGGACGUUUGGGUGACCUCCCCACAACACAAGGUGGGGUGGGGGGUUUCAACCCACACUGCCCCAUCUUGAAUCGCCAUGGAUGACCAAGUAGUUGAAACACGACGGGGGACUUAGGUGCCAGUCCUUCUAGGCAGAAGGGCCCUCUUGGGUUUUCAAUGAAAGGAAGAGUGUGAGGCAUUAAGAAGCCUGAGGAAGAGAGGAGAGAGGGGCUAGGGGCUCCCGCCUGGGAACAGGGAACUGCAAGAGGGCCUGUUCAGUGCUUUGGCCUAACUCGAAGUGGUGCCGCUAAGGUAGGGGUAGGAAUCUGACUCAGAGCUGAUGAGCACAGGGACAAGCCUGGCACACUUGGUUGGGGUGGGGAGGAGGGACAGAGGAAGCAAGAGCCAGAGGAGGGGGUUAGGCAGAGGAGGCAGAGCAAAGCUUAGGAAACCCUGGCUAGCAAGGCAGAAAGGAACAGGAAGGUUGCUGCCCCAGGUGCAGUGGAGUCAAAGGCCAAAGAACCCCAAAAUAGUUGCCUAUGAACUUUUUAGCGUCCAUCAUGUUGAGUCUGUUUUCCCUCGGCAGUUAAAACAAGUCUUAGUAAAAUGUGAGGGAGUAAUUGCUAAAGCCCAGAUGAACCUGAGGAGGUGGUAGGUUAAAUUGUGGUUGGAGGUGUGUGAUGGGAGACUGAAGUGAGAUACAGGGGUACAGAGAAAAAUGGCCGGUGCCCAAAUGGCCUUCCCCUUCUCUCCCCUGGGGCUGCGGAGGUCCACGGAAGGAAGAGCUCUCUCCCCCAGCGCCCCUCCUUUCCACCUGAUAGGGCUGAGGCCAAGGUUUUCUCUAGGACCUUGACUUUGACAUCUGCCCUGGGGGAAGAUGACAGGGUGGUGACUGGCCAGGAGUGAAAGCACUGAGAUAGGGACAUGGGGACAACGUGGCAUCAUUCUCUGCUUCUUUUCCUGCAGCAUGUGCUAUUUUCACUAUUCUCCUCAUGCUGGUGGCACCUAUGCUCCCUACCUACAAACUGAGAGUGGUAGCCACCUGUCACCCUGAAUGGAAGUCAUGGGUAAGAAUGUGGCAGAGAGCAAGCACUUUGUAAUCCAUUAGCUUUGCUUCUUUGAUAUGCCUUGUGACGGCGGACAUUACCUGUGUUAGUCAGAGUAAUGUCCUAGAGGGACCCUGACUAGAGGGACAGAACUAAUAGGAUAUAUAUAUAUAUAUAUAUACACACACACACACAUAUGCAUAUAUGAGUGUAUAUAUAUACACAUAUAUGAGUUUAUUAAGUAUUAACUCACACGGUCACAAGUUCACACAAUAGGCCAUCUGCAAGCUAAGGAGCAAAUAGAGCCAGUCUGAAUUCCAAAACUGAGAACUUGGAGUUCAAGAGCAGGAAGUAUCCAGCACGAGAGAAAGAUGUAGGCUAGGAAGCUAGGCCAGUCUCUUUUUCACAUUUUUCUGCCUACUUAUAUUCUAGCCUCACUGGCAACUGAUUAGAUUGUGCCCACCCAGAUUAAGGGUGGGUCUGCCUUCCCCAGCCCACUGACUCAAAUAUUAAUCUCCUUUGGCAACACCCUCCCAGACACACCCAGGAUCAAUACUUUGUAUUCUUCAAUCUGAUCAAGUUGACACUCAGUAUUAACCACCACAUUACCUAAGCAAUCUGAGCAUCAGUUUCUCCCCUGGAAAAUGGAAGUAACAAUAACAUCCACUUCUUGGAUCAUUGUAAAAAGUAACUAAAGGAAGGUAUAUAAAGCAUAUAAAACAGCACCUGGCACAAGGAUAUGCUUAACAUACUGUACAAGAGGAAGCUGGAACAUCUUCCAAGGCAUUGAGGAGCUUGGUGUGGGCGCCUUGGAUUUUGGCUUCUCUUUAUUACCUAUAGUAAUAAAGAUAACGCGUGUUUUUACAAUAAAAAAGUAUGCAGAGAAAUUUCAAAUGCACUAAAGGCCUAUCUCUGAAAAAGUAAAGGCAUUAUACACAUCUGUCUUCUUGCUUUUCUUAGUUCAGCAAUGCAGCAUUCAUCAAAGAAGAGGAUAAAAAUGGUGAUUUUGUCCCACUGAAGUCCUAAUUAUGCUCAUUGAAAUUUACAUAUUUAAGUAUUCUUCAGAGGUACUAUUCUCCAUUCUUAGAUAAGGGGGUGUAUGAAUACCACUUAAAUGUGUAUAUGUUUACUCUUUAAAGUCAAGUCUCUACAGACAGAAACAAUCCCCCAGCAGAAAGAAGUUGGGGAGAGAAAAGGGAAAUAAUGAAAGAAAGAAAGAAAGAAGAGAGAGGAAGAGAGAGAGAGAUAAAAA